rnacentral:rRNA from 1 species
GCUCAACCGUGGAGGGUCAUUGGAAACUGGGAAACUUGAGUGCAGAAGAGGAGAGUGGAAUUCCAUGUGUAGCGGUGAAAUGCGCAGAGAUAUGGAGGAACACCAGUGGCGAAGGCGGCUCUCUGGUCUGUAACUGACGCUGAUGUGCGAAAGCGUGGGGAUCAAACAGGAUUAGAUACCCUGGUAGUCCACGCCGUAAACAAUGAGUGCUAAGUGUUAGGGGGUUUCCGCCCCUUAGUGCUGCAGCUAACGCAUUAAGCACUCCGCCUGGGGAGUACGACCGCAAGGUUGAAACUCAAAGGAAUUGACGGGGACCCACACAAGCGGUGGAGCAUGUGGUUUAAUUCGAAGCAACGCGAAGAACCUUACCAAAUCUUGACAUCCUUUGACCGCUCUAGAGAUAGAGUCUUCCCCUUCAGGGGACAAAGUGACAGGUGGUGCAUGGUUGUCGUCAGCUCGUGUCAUGAGAUGUUGGGUUAAGUCCCGCAACGAGCGCAACCCUUAAGCUUAGUUGCCAUCAUUAAGUUGGGCACUCUAGGUUGACUGCCGGUGACAAACCGGAGGAAGGUGGGGAUGACGUCAAAUCAUCAUGCCCCUUAUGAUUUGGGCUACACACGUGCUACAAUGGAUAAUACAAAG